GAUGAACGCUGGCGGCGUGCCUAAUACAUGCAAGUCGAGCGAACGGACGAGAAGCUUGCUUCUCUGAUGUUAGCGGCGGACGGGUGAGUAACACGUGGAUAACCUACCUAUAAGACUGGGAUAACUUCGGGAAACCGGAGCUAAUACCGGAUGAUAUUUUGAACCGCAUGGUUCAAAAGUGAAAGACGGUCUUGCUGUCACUUAUAGAUGGAUCCGCGCUGCAUUAGCUAGUUGGUAAGGUAACGGCUUACCAAGGCAACGAUGCAUAGCCGACCUGAGAGGGUGAUCGGCCACACUGGAACUGAGACACGGUCCAGGCUCCUACGGGAGGCAACAGUAGGGAAUCUUCCGCAAUGGGCGAAAGCCUGACGGAGCAACGCCGCGUGAGUGAUGAAGGUCUUCGGAUCGUAAAACUCUGUUAUUAGGGAAGAACAUAUGUGUAAGUAACUGUGCACAUCUUGACGGUACCUAAUCAGAAAGCCACGGCUAACUACGUG
rnacentral:rRNA from 1 species